AGAGUUUGAUCAUGGCUCAGGACGAACGCUGGCGGCGUGCCUAAUACAUGCAAGUAGAACGCUGAAGGAGGAGCUUGCUCUUCUGGAUGAGUUGCGAACGGGUGAGUAACGCGUAGGUAACCUGCCUGGUAGCGGGGGAUAACUAUUGGAAACGAUAGCUAAUACCGCAUAACAUUGACUAUUGCAUGAUAGUCAAUUGAAAGGUGCAAAUGCACCACUACCAAAUGGACCUGCGUUGUAUUA
rnacentral:rRNA from 1 species